AGAAUCAACGCUGGCGGCGUGCCUAACGACAUGCAAGUCGAACGAGAAAGUGGAGCAAUCCAUGAGUAAAGUGGCGCACGGGUGAGUAACACGUGACUAACCUACCCUUGAGUGGGGGAUAACCUAGGGAAACCUGGGCUAAUACCGCAUAAUACCUUCGGGUCAAAGGAGCAAUUCGCUUAAGGAGGGGGUCGCGGCCGAUUAGUUAGUUGGCGGGGUAAUGGCCCACCAAGACGAUGAUCGGUAUCCGGCCUGAGAGGGCGCACGGACACACUGGAACUGAAACACGGUCCAGACUCCUACGGGAGGCAGCAGUGGGGAAUUUUGCGCAAUGGGGGAAGCCCUGACGCAGCAACGCCGCGUGGAGGAUGAAGUCCCUUGGGACGUAAACUCCUUUCGAUCGGGACGAUAAUGACGGUACCGGAAGAAGAAGCCCCGGCUAACUUCGUAGCCAGCCAGCCGC
rnacentral:rRNA from 1 species